rnacentral:rRNA from 1 species
AUGCACGCUGGCGGCGUGCCUAAUACAUGCAAGUCGAGCGAACGGACGAGAAGCUUGCUUCUCUGAUGUUAGCGGCGGACGGGUGAGUAACACGUGGAUAACCUACCUAUAAGACUGGGAUAACUUCGGGAAACCGUAGCUAAUACCGGAUAAUAUUUUGAACCGCCUGGUUCAAAAGUGAAAGACGGUCUUGCUGUCACUUAUAGAUGGAUCCGCGCUGCAUUAGCUAGUUGGUAAGGUAACGGCUUACCAAGGCAACGAUGCAUAGCCGACCUGAGAGGGUGAUCGGCCACACUGGAACUGAGACACGGUCCAGACUCCUACGGGAGGCAGCAGUAGGGAAUCUUCCGCAAUGGGCGAAAGCCUGACGGAGCAACGCCGCGUGAGUGAUGAAGGUCUUCGGAUCGUAAAACUCUGUUAUUAGGGAAGAACAUAUGUGUAAGUAACUGUGCACAUCUUGACGGUACCUAAUCAGAAAGCCACGGCUAACUACGUG